GCUGAAAACAUGAAUUUUCCACAUAGAUAUAAUUAUAGACAAAGAGGAUAGCAAUAAGAGCACUCUGGAGAAGUGAGAAUAUCUUUUGAAAAGGAAAGCAAAUCCAGCCAGAAAUCAAAAUAUUUUCCAUUUCCUUCAGAAAAUUACACAAUUCUCCCGUCCCAGCAGGCGAAAGGCAAGAGAAAAUCAAGAAGAGAUUUCAAGCUGGAAAUAGUGGAGUAUGCAGAACAGAAGGAUACGUUACAUGACAAGGUGGAGGAGAUCAUUUUUCCGUUCAGAAAAAGAGGGAAAUAUCUGGAAGUCAGUGGGGAAGAAAAGGUCAAUUGGAUACUCAAAUAGGGCAGACAGUAAUGCAGAACUCCAAUGGGAGGAAGAAAACAGGUGAAAUCAAAGCACCACUAAACAAGGGACCACACACAUUUUUUACUUCCUCCAGAAUAUCAGUGGUGGAAAAGGUCCACAGAUGUCACUAUUGUGGUAUAAAGCACAGAUUGCAAAAGCUA